rnacentral:snRNA from 10 species
AUACUUACCUGGUAGGGGAGACAACAUGAUCACUAAGGUGGUUUUCCCAGGGCGAGGCUUAUCCAAUGUAAAUUGGUGCAGCCACCAUGGAGAACAGUAUGGAGGUUCUCAAAAAGCUAAAAAUACAGUUAUC